UACGGGGGGAGCAAGCGUUGUUCGGAUUUACUGGGCGUAAAGGGCGCGUAGGCGGUCAGCACAAGUCAGCUGUGAAAUCUCCGGGCUUAACUCGGAAAGGUCAACUGAUACUGUGCGACUAGAGUGCAGAAGGGGCAACUGGAAUUCUCGGUGUAGCGGUGAAAUGCGUAGAUAUCGAGAGGAACGCCUGCGGCGAAGGCGGGUUGCUGGGCUGACACUGACGCUGAUGCGCGAAAGCCAGGGGAGCGAACGGG
rnacentral:rRNA from 1 species